rnacentral:rRNA from 1 species
GAUGAACGCUAGCUACAGGCUUAACACAUGCAAGUCGAGGGGUCUGCUUCGGCAGACGACCGGCGCACGGGUGAGUAACGCGUAUCCAACCUGCCCUUCAUAUUGGGAUAGCCUCUCGAAAAGGGAGAUUAAUACCGAAUAACAUAAUGUGAUAGCAUUAUUUCAUUAUGAAAGCUCCGGCGAUGAAGGAUGGGGAUGCGUUCCAUUAGGUAGUAGGCGGGGUAACGGCCCACCUAGUCUACGAUGUCUAGGGGUUCUGAGAGGAAGGUCCCCCACACUGGAACUGAGACACGGUCCAGACUCCUACGGGAGGCAGCAGUGAGGAAUAUUGGUCAAUGGUCGGAAGACUGAACCAGCCAAGUAGCGUGAAGGAUGAAGGUUCUAUGGAUUGUAAACUUCUUUUAUACGGGAAUAAAACCUCCCACGUGUGGGAGCUUGUAUGUACCGUAUGAAUAAGCAUCGGCUAACUCCGUG